rnacentral:rRNA from 1 species
AUCCUGUUUGCUCCCCACGCUUUCGUGCCUCAGUGUCAGUGCUGGUCCAGGUAGCCGCCUUCGCCACUGGUGUUCCUCCCGAUCUCUACGCAUUUCACUGCUACACCGGGAAUUCCACUACCCUCUACCGCACUCUAGCUUUCCAGUAUCCACUGCCAUUCCCAGGUUGAGCCCAGGGCUUUCACAACGGACUUAAAAAACCACCUACGCACGCUUUACGCCCAGUAAUUCCGAGUAACGCUUGCACCCUUCGUAUUACCGCGGCUGCUGGCACGAAGUUAGCCGGUGCUGAUUCUUCCGGUACCGUCAGUUUGCCGGGUUGUUAACCCGACACGUUUCGUUCCGGACAAAAGUGCUUUACAACCCGAAGGCCUUCUUCACACACGCGGCAUUGCUGGAUCAGGGUUGCCCCCAUUGUCCAAUAUUCCCCACUGCUGCCUCCCGUAGGAGUCUGGGCCGUGUCUCAGUCCCAGUGUGGCUGAUCAUCCUCUCAGACCAGCUACGGAUCGUCGCCUUGGUAGGCCUUUACCCUACCAACUAGCUAAUCCGACAUCGGCUCAUCCAAUCGCGCGAGGUCUUGCGAUCCCCCGCUUUCACCUUCCGGUCGUGUGCGGUAUUAGCGUAAGUUUCCCUACGUUAUCCCCCACGACUGGGCAAAUUCCGAUGUAUUCCUCACCCGUCCGCCACUCGUCGGCACCCUUGCGGGCCCGUUACCGUUCGACUUGCAUGUGUUAGGCAUGCCGCCAGCGUUCACUCUGAGCCAGGAUCAAACUCU